ensembl:ncRNA C11E4.12 ncRNA
CAACCCAAAAAUGUGUUUCCGUGUCUUUCUGUCGGCGCCGCGCAUCUCAAUCGCUUCCAUCCUUUGUCGGGAGUGCCGGAGGAAAGAUGCACACAAGUGCGUGUGUUUGUGUGUAUGCACAGGCCUUGGGAAUGGUAGAG